UCCCAUGUGGGUCAGUUGGUAGAGCAUGGUGUUUGCAACGCCAGGGUUGUGGGUUCGAUUCCCACGGGGGAC
rnacentral:tRNA from 1 species